CAAUAGCGUAUAUUAAAGUUGUUGCAGUUAAAAAGCUCGUAGUUGAAUUUCUGUCAGGAGUGACCGGGCCUUUGGAUGAACUUCCAUUGUUUUUUGCUCUGUUUGUCAUCUCUAGACAUCCUGAAAUAUUUUUUAAAAAUAUUUCUCUUUUACUGUUAGCAAAAUAGAGUGCUCCAAGCAAAGCGUAGUUUUGAAUACAUUAGAAUGGAAUAAUAAGAUAGGACUUUGGUGCUAUUUUGUUGGUUUGCACACCAAGGUAAUGAUUAAUAGGGACAGUUGGGGGUAUUCGUAUUUAAUUGUCAGAGGUGAAAUUCUUGGAUUUAUGAAAGACGAACUACUGCGAAAGCAUUUACCAAGGAUGUUUUCAUUAA
rnacentral:rRNA from 1 species